UACGGAGGGUGCGAGCGUUAUCCGGAAUUAUUGGGUUUAAAGGGUGCGUAGGCGGAAAUUUAAGUCAGUGGUGAAAGCCUGCAGCUUAACUGUAGAAUUGCCAUUGAUACUGAUUUUCUUGAAUCUAAUUGAAGUAGGCGGAAUAUGACAUGUAGCGGUGAAAUGCUUAGAUAUGUCAUAGAACACCGAUAGCGAAGGCAGCUUACUAAGUUAGUAUUGACGCUAAUGCACGAAAGCGUGGGGAGCGAACAGG
rnacentral:rRNA from 1 species